UUNUGAACUGGGCAGCUAGAGUAUNUCAGAGGGGGGUAGAAUUCCACGUGUAGCAGUGAAAUGCGUAGAGAUGUGGAGGAAUACCGAUGGCGAAGGCAGCCCCCUGGGAUAAUACUGACGUUCAUGCCCGAAAGCGUGGGUAGCAAACAGGAUUAGAUACCCUGGUAGUCCACGCCCUAAACGAUGUCGAUUAGCUGUUGGGCAACUUGAUUGCUUAGUAGCGAAGCUAACGCGUGAAAUCGGCCGCCUGGGGAGUACGGUCGCAAGAUUAAAACUCAAAGGAAUUGACGGGGACCCGCACAAGCGGUGGAUGAUGUGGAUUAAUUCGAUGCAACGCGAAGAACCUUACCUGGUCUUGACAUGUACGGAACCUUCCAGAGACGGAAGGGUGCCUUCGGGAGCCGUAACACAGGUGCUGCAUGGCUGUCGUCAGCUCGUGUCGUGAGAUGUUGGGUUAAGUCCCGCAACGAGCGCAACCCUUGUCAUUAGUUGCCAUCAUUAAGUUGGGCACUCUAAUGAGACUGCCGGUGACAAACCGGAGGAAGGUGGGGAUGACGUCAAGUCCUCAUCGCCCUUAUGACCAGGGCUUCACACGUCAUACAAUGGUCGGUACAGAGGGUAGCCAAGCCGCGAGGCGGAGCCAAUCCCAGAAAACCGAUCGUAGUCCAGAUUGCACUCUGCAACUCGAGUG
rnacentral:rRNA from 1 species